rnacentral:rRNA from 1 species
GCGGUGAAAUGCGUAGAUAUUAGGAGGAACACCAGUUGCGAAGGCGGCUCUCUGGACUGUAACUGACGCUGAGGCACGAAAGCGUGGGGAGCAAACAGGAUUAGAUACCCUGGUAGUCCACGCUGUAAACGAUGAGUACUAGGUGUCGGGGGUUACCCCCUUCGGUGCCGCAGCUAACGCAUUAAGUACUCCGCCUGGGAAGUACGCUCGCAA